rnacentral:rRNA from 1 species
GGGAUCGAACAGGAUUAGAUACCCUGGUAGUCCACGCAGUAAACGAUGAGCGCUAACUGUCCGGAGCGAGCGAGCUCUGGGUGGUACAGUGAAAACGUUAAGCGCUCCACCUGGGGAGUACGCCGGCAACGGUGAAACUCAAAGGAAUUGACGGGGGCCCGCACAAGCGGAGGAACAUGUGGUUUAAUUCGAUGAUACGCGAGGAACCUUACCCGGGCUCAAACGUAAGCGGAAUAACGGUGAAAGCCGUUAGCUAUUUAUAGCCGCUUACGAGGUGCUGCAUGGUUGUCGUCAGCUCGUGCCGUGAGGUGUCGGCUUAAGUGCCAUAACGAGCGCAACCCCCAUCGCCAGUUGCUAACAGGUAAUGCUGAGGACUCUGGCGAGACUGCCGGCGCAAGCUGCGAGGAAGGCGGGGAUGACGUCAAAUCAGCACGGCCCUUACGUCCGGGGCGACACACGUGUUACAAUGGCAGGUACAGAGAGAAGCCAUCCCGCGAGGGAGAGCGGAACUUGAAAGCCUGUCUCAGUUCGGAUUGGAGUCUGCAACCCGACUCCAUGAAGCUGGAUUCGCUAGUAAUCGC